rnacentral:rRNA from 1 species
UACAGAGAGUGCAAACGUUGUUCGGAAUUACUGGGCUUGAAGCGCACGUAGGCGGCGUUGUAAGUGUCGGGUGAAAUCCCACGGCUCACCCGUGGAACUGCGUCUGAUACUGGAUGGCUUGAAUCCGGGAGAGGGAUGCAGAAUUCCAGGUGUAGCGGUGAAAUGCGUAGAUAUCUGGAGGAUACCGGUGGCGAAGGCGGCAUCCUGGACCGGCAUUGACGCUGAUGAGCGAAAGCUAGGGGAGCAAACGGG